rnacentral:rRNA from 1 species
AUGAACGCUAGCGACAGGCCUAACACAUGCAAGGUCGAGGGGCAGCACAAGGAGCAAUCUGAGGUGGCGACCGGCGCACGGGUGAGUAACACGUAUGCAACCUGCCUGUAAGCGGGGAAUAACCCGUUGAAAGACGGACUAAUACCGCAUAAUACUAAAUUACUGCAUGGUAAUUUAUUUAAACAUUUAUGGCUUACAGAUGGGCAUGCGCAUGAUUAGCUAGUUGGAGAGGUAACGGCUCCCCAAGGCAACGAUCAUUAGGGGUUCUGAGAGGAAGGUCCCCCACACUGGUACUGAGACACGGACCAGACUCCUACGGGAGGCAGCAGUGAGGAAUAUUGGUCAAUGGACGAGAGUCUGAACCAGCCAAGUCGCGUGCAGGAAGAAUGUCCUUAAUGGAUUGUAAACUGCUUUUGCAGGGGAAUAAAGUGCAUCACGUGUGAUGUUUUGUAUGUACUCUGCGAAUAAGGAUCGGCUAACUCCGUGCCAGCAGCAGC